GCGUGGAGACAGGUGGUGCAUGGCUGUCAUCAGCUCGUGUCGUGAGAUGUUGGGUUAAGUCCCGCAACGAGCGCAACCCUCACCCCUAGUUGCCACCGGGUAAAGCCGAGCACUCGAGGGGAACUGCCAGCGUCAAGCUGGAGGAAGGCGGGGAUGACGUCAAGUCAUCAUGCCCCUUACGCCCUGGGCUACACACGUGCUACAAUGGCCGGUACAAAGGGACGCGAGACUGCAAAGUGGAGCUAAUCCCAAAAAACCGGUCUAAGUUCAGAUUGCAGUCUGCAACUCGACUGCAUGAAGGAGGAAUCGCUAGUAAUCGCGCAUCAGCACGGCGCGGUGAAUACGUUCCCGGGCCUUGUACACACCGCCCGUCACACCACGAAAGCUGUCUGUACUCGAAGUCGCUGAG
rnacentral:rRNA from 1 species